rnacentral:lncRNA from 1 species
ACCCAAUUUAUUUAAUCUGUUUAUCGUUUAAUCUGUUUAUUAGAUGAAUAACCUAUUUAACCGAUCCGACCCGAUCCGUUUAACCUAUUUAUUAUUGUAUGCUAUGAUUUUCAUUGAAAAAAAUAAAGAUUAAGAUGAAUUCAAUUUUCUAAGAAUAAUCGAGGUGAACUAAAUGAUAUGACAAACAGCUACCACAACUAGUGUGUGAU